GCAAGUCAAACGGUCCACUUUUAGUGGACAGUGGCAGACGGGUGAGUAACAUGUUGGAACCUAACUCAAAGCAGGGAAUAAUCAGCUGAAAAGCUGUCUAAUACCCUAUGUGGUCUUCGGACUAAAGAUUUCGAUCACUUUGAGAGGGGCCUACAUCCCAUUAGUUUGUUGGUAAGGUAAUGGCUUACCAAGACUAUGAUGGGUAGCUGGUUCGAGAGGACGACC
rnacentral:rRNA from 1 species